rnacentral:rRNA from 1 species
UACGUAGGGGGCAAGCGUUGUCCGGAAUCAUUGGGCGUAAAGAGCGUGUAGGCGGCUCGGUAAGUCCGCUGUGAAAGUCCAGGGCUCAACCCUGGAAUGCCGGUGGAAACUGUCGGGCUAGAGUCCGGAAGAGGCGAGUGGAAUUCCUGGUGUAGCGGUGAAAUGCGCAGAUAUCAGGAGGAACACCAACUGGCGAAGGCAGCUCGCUGGGACGGUACUGACGCUGAGACGCGAAAGCGUGGGGAGCAAACAGG